CCUCGCCUCGCUUUGCAGCCAUGAUGUCACAUUGUCUGCGUCCAUCUCGAGGAUGACCGGCGGGGAGCGUGUGGACACUGAACAUCAACCCGAAUAAUUUAGUCGGGAAUCUGGAUCGUGGUAAUCUGGUUAGAGAAGGUGUGAUUGCGAGUGCGGCUGUUUGUCUCGAUGUGCCCUCCGAUCGGCUGGCGACCAGUUCAGGGUGUACCCCGCCUUCUGGCCCUUGACUGCCUGGAUGGGCUCCAGUACUCCUCGUGAGGAUCAGCGGAAUCGAAAAUGGAUGGAACUAAACUGUUUCAUGUGUUAUAUAUUUUUUUCUUCUAAAUCUCAUCUGCAAAUGACGCAGACAAUCUGUCGCCUUGAAAAUUCAAUUGUGGUCCUUGAGUGCAAAAUGUUUGCCCACUCGUGUUCGAGAACAUCAUUUCAACAAUAAUUGACCUCCCAUUCAAGUGUCGUAAGUAGUGUUGGAAAAACAAAAAAUAAAAACAU